UACGGAGGGUGCAAGCGUUGUUCGGAUUUAUUGGGCGUAAAGCGCGUGUAGGCGGUCUUCUAAGUCUGAUGUGAAAGCCCUGGGCUCAACCCAGGAAGUGCAUUGGAUACUGGACGACUUGAAUACGGGAGAGGGUAGUGGAAUUCCUAGUGUAGGAGUGAAAUCCGUAGAUAUUAGGAGGAACACCGGUGGCGAAGGCGGCUACCUGGACCGAUACUGACGCUGGAGGAGCGAAAGCGUGGGGAGCGAACAGG
rnacentral:rRNA from 1 species